rnacentral:miRNA from 1 species
AUGUGCCUCUUUACGUCCCCAU